AUCUGUACUGACCCUGGGUUGUCUUAGUCGAAUCACCAGCCAGAGGUGGAGAAAGCCAAAGGUUUAAAAGAUCUCCAUUGUUUGCUCUCACACAAGUAUCAGUUUGCCACCAAAGGGAAAAAAAUGGUUGUCAGUGUCCAGAAUUUUUCGUUUCAGUGACGUGUGCAGGAAUAGUUCCUAGAAAACCAGAGACAACCUCUCCCCCAACCCCACUCCCACCCCAUCCCUGGCCCCAUAACAGGCCCCUGUGCAGCUUUUCAGGAGGCUCUGGAGAUGGGAUCCUGGGUCACAUGACCUGCUGCCUGGUCAGUGUCAGGAGGACAGCCAGUGUUAGGGGGAGCAGUGCUUCCUCCCCCUAAUUUGGUUAGUCAACACCUCAGCCUGAGCCUGGGACCAUAAAGCUGAGAAGUGCUUGCCGUGUGUGAAGUGUGCCGCUAAUAAAUCUCCCUCAUAUCUCAUACAGAAAAGCAAGAGCACUUAGCAUCCCCACUUAAGCUGAGAAGCAGAGGCAGUGAGAUGUCCUGCAGCUUGCCCACAGUGUCUCUCCUGUUUGUCUGUAUCGCUCCUAAAACAGCAGGGAGCGGUCUCCCAUUGGGUGCACCUGCUGCCUUCACCCUGCUAACUCUCUCUUCUCUGAGGCUACUGCUCAAGACCUCAUUCUCUACUGGGUGCUGAGGUCCCCUUGGACCCCGACACUAGCCUCUUGAGCCUCCUGGGAGCUGGUAGCACAUAAGAUCCCACUUCUUAAAUAUGGCCUUCAUUUCUCCAAACAACACCCAAAUGCAGCUGCAGAGUGAUCCCUUGUUGUGACUGCCAGGAACCAUCAGGCAGCUCUGUGCAAGGAGAGACUUUUCCGGUCUGUGCCUUGGAAGGGAUGCCCCAGCAAGGAGAGUGAAUGCAAGUGGGGGCCCUUGCACAGGCCAAGGCUGCUCGGGUGUUUGGAGAGGGUUGUGUAAUUUAUGGCAGGGAGAGAACAGAGGGCAUCUGGUGCAUAAGCGAUGGGUUGGGGCUUCAGGGAGAAUGGCAGAUUUUAUGUGGCAUGCUAAAUCUGCACUCAGUUCUAAAGUGAAACGGUGGUUUUGGGUUCUCAUUAUUAUAAUGAAACAGCUGGGAUAGUUAACUAAUAAAUACAAGAAAGCUGUUCAGGUCACAAUUCCAGAGGUUCUGGUCUCGGGCUGGGCAGACCCAUUGCUUUGGUUUCUGAUAGGGAUGUUAGCGGGCUAAGGGAGGAAAUGUGUGACAAAACUGUUCACUAGGUGGCCAGGAAACAAAAGUCACCAAAAUCCCCUCCAAGAACAUGCUUCCAGUGACCUAAGGACUUCUGGUGAGGCUCCACUUCUAAAAGGACCUUAGCACUUCCUAAUAGCACCACCGUGGAGAGAGACCAAGGCUUUAAUACACUAACGUUUGAGAGACAUUUAACGUGCAAAGGAUAGCAAUAUAGUGUUUACAAAUUGUAAUGCUUCAUCACAGACUUAAAAUUCAGUGGUAGAGCGCUAGCUGAGCAUGCCCGUAAGGCUCUGGGCUCUAUCCCUAGCACCAUAAAAUAAAAGCAAGUAAGUUAAGAUUAUGGUGUUUGGGCCAGGAUAUGUCAUAAUGAGUUAGAGUGCUUAUUGUGAGAGCUUGAUGAUCUGAAUUUAAGUCCUCAGAGCCUGUGUAAAACUGGGUUCAGUGAGAGUGGAUCUGAAGCCUCAGUGCCUAUAGCAAAAUGGGAGCUGGAGACAGGAGAGUCCCCUAGAAGUUCUCCAGCCAGGAACUGGACUGUGAAGUACUCGUGCACAAUGAGAAGGACUUUGCCUCAGACAAGGUCAGCGUGAAGGGCUGACACCUGAAGCUGUCCCCUGAGGGGUUUGAUCUCUAUGUUCAUGCUAUGGCUCACAGGCAUCUCCCUUCACCCCCAAACACAUACGUGGUGAUGCCUCAAUCACUCAGUCAGCCAAUCAAUGUUGAAGAUAACAAUUCACAAAAGUCAUGAUGGGCUGAGUUGUAUAUAAUGACGCCGGAACUUGAUGGCUCCUAGCAGCACAUAUCUGCUUCUUGCUUGUGUCAUGUGUCAUCGAGGGCUGACUGUGGGUUUGGCAAGACAUCUUUAUCACCAUCACCCUGGUCUUCCCACAGACAGAGGCUCACUCCGUGUGCUCAUGUGGGAACCCUGCAGGUGACAGACAGGAAUGUUCUAAUGGGUUCAGGCUGUGUUUUAGUCCGUUUUCUGCCGCUAUCACAGAAUACCACACACUAAAAUCAAUUAGAAACAGAAGUUUAUUUAGUUUACUGGAGGCUGGGAAACCCAGAGUAGGGUGCAACAUCUGGGGUGCAACAUCUGGUGAUGGAGACAAGCUCAUGUUCUCCUGCUUAAAUGGUAAGCACUUUACUGACUGAGCUGUAGCUGACUAGCAAGCUCCAGCAUCCUCUUACCUCUGCCUUUCAAGUGGUUGGAUUUCAGG
rnacentral:lncRNA from 1 species